rnacentral:rRNA from 1 species
AUUGAACGCUGGCGGCAGGCCUAACACAUGCAAGUCGAGCGAGCGGCGGACGGGUGCGUAAUGUAUGGGGACUGCCCGAUCGACGGGGAUAACUACUGGAAACGGUGGCUAAUCCCGCAUACUAUCGGAUACCCCAUAUGGGAUUAGCUAGUAGGUGGGGUAAAGGCGCACAUAGGCGACGAUCUCUAGCUGGUCUGCGAGGAUGAUCAGCCACACGGGGACUGGGACACGGCCCAGACUCCUACGGAGGAAGCAGAGGGGAAUAUUGGACAAUGGGCGCAAGCCUGAUGCAGCCAUGCCGGGGGUAUGAGAAAGGCCUGAGGGUUGUAAAGUACUUUCAGCGGGGAGGCGUUACCCGCAGAAGAAUCACGGGCUAACUCCGUGCAAGAGGCCGCGGUAAUAC